rnacentral:rRNA from 1 species
CAAUAGCGUAUAUUAAAGCUGUUGCGGUUAAAAAGCUCGUAGUUGGAUUUCUGUCAAGUACAACUGGUCCGCCCUCCGGGUGAGCACAUAGUUUGGUCUUGGCAUCUUGCUGGGAACUGUUGCUGCACUUGGUUGUGUGGCGCAGCGUCCAGCACUUUCACUUUGAGGAAAUUGGAGUGUUUCAAGCAGGCACAUGCCUUUGGACACAGUAGCAUGGAAUAAUUAGAUUGGGCUUUUGCUCCAACUUGUCGGUUUCUGGAGCUGAGGUGAGAAUUAAUGGGGAUUGUUGGGGGCAUCCGAAUUUAGCCGUCAGAGGUGAAAUUCUUGGAUCUGCUAAAGACGGACAACUGCGAAAGCGUUUGCCCAGGAUGUUUUCAUUGA